GCCGCAAUAGCUCAGUUGGGAGAGCAGUAGACUGAAGUUCCACGCGAUAGCGAUCUUUCGAUUUCUAAAGGUCCCCCGUUCGAACCGGGGUUGUGGCA